rnacentral:pre_miRNA from 1 species
UCUUACGGAUGAGCAAAGAAAGUAGUGUCUUAGAUGAGAUCUACUCCUGGUGAAGAUGCUAUGAA